rnacentral:rRNA from 1 species
AGAUUGAACGCUGGCGGCAGGCCUAACACAUGCAAGUCGAGCGGCAGCACGGGUACUUGUACCUGGUGGCGAGCGGCGGACGGGUGAGUAAUGCCUAGGAAUCUGCCUGGUAGUGGGGGGAUAACGCUCGGAAACGGACGCUAAUACCGCAUACGUCCUACGGGAGAAAGCAGGGGACCUUCGGGCCUUGCGCUAUCAGAUGAGCCUAGGUCGAUUAGCUAGUCGGUGAGGUAAUGGCUCACCAAGGCGACGAUCCGUAACUGGUCUGAGAGGAUGAUCAGUCACACUGGAACUGAGACACGGUCCAGACUCCUACGGGAGCAGCAGUGGGAAUAUUGGACAAUGGGCAAAGCCUGAUCCAGCCAUGCCGCGUGUGUGAAGAAGGUCUUCGGAUUGUAAAGCACUUUAAGUUGGAGGAAGGGUUGUAAACCUAAUACGUUGACAACUUUGACGUUACCGACAGAAUAAGCAACCGGCUAACUUCGCGCCAGCAG